rfam:Camelus ferus unplaced genomic scaffold scaffold692, whole genome shotgun sequence.
GGGGGUAGAGCUCAGUGGUAGGACAUGUGUUUAUCAUGCACAAGGUGCUGGGUUCAAUCCCCAGUGCCCCCA